GACAAGGUGGUAGGAGAGAAAGGGUUUUAUUACAGCUUGUUAGCAAGGGGGAAGAUGGCUGACUAAUGUCCAAAAGAACCAUCUUACAGAACACAGACUACAGAUAUGUAUCAGAGACCCAAGGAAUGCCCUAUACCUUGAUUUUCCAAGUGUCGUUGAUGAUGGCUAUCAGCAUAAGCUCUCUGCCUGGGGCGUCAUCACAUCCCUAAGCAACUCAAAAGAACAAAGUGAUCUACUUGUAGCAGCUGGGAGGGGACUUGAAAUCUACAGAGCAUGUAUAUCUCCUAGAGGGAGUUGACAGUUACCUGGACAACUAAAUGCCUGAUUUCCUUCUGUUGUCUCCCUCUCUCAGUUGACUACUGCUGAAGAGUUCUUGCUGAAGUACAUACCAGACCAUUUACUCCCCUUUCCCAAAGUCUCACAGUUAAUGACUUUGAAUCUGACUGGAUCUCCUAAUAACACGUUUGUUGUUCUUUCCAUUGCUCUACUGUGUAGCUAUUUCACUUCUAUUAGUCAAGAAACUCAUUGAAGCCUGGAAAUGUGAUUAAAUACAAACAACAAAUAAGGACUGUAGAAAUUCAAAGAAAGAGAUAUCAGUAUGUCUGAUAGCAGUUUUAAAUGCCUUCAUGUGGAGUUAAUUGAACAGUUUAAAAAUUUAAGUAACAUGAAAUAAAUGAGAAUACCAAUGAAUGCUGGCUGUGUGAUACCUUUUAAUAUCAUAUGAGAAAGCAUGUAUAAGAGCAAAUUGAUUAUCUGUUUGACUAACUUUUUCAGAGGUCAGUUUUAGAACUACGUUUACCUUAUGCUUCCCAUUAACAAAAGAAGAAUGAUUCUUGAAGUAACUGUUAAAAUUUUUAAACAGUGUUUUAAUAGACUGAGGCCAACAUUAUUUUCUGGAAAAAGUGAUCUCUCCAAUUAGAAUGUAAUUAAUAAAAAACUAUGAUUUGCAAAUCAUUAAUUUUGUACAUUAGCAUUCAUUCAAUGAGCACUUAUUGAACAUAUCUGCAGAGGAUAUAAACUGGCAGGUCAAAUCUUAGCUGCAGAUUUGUCCUGUUUGACC
rnacentral:lncRNA from 1 species